rnacentral:rRNA from 1 species
UGAGGAAUAUUGGUCAAUGGGCGGGAGCCUGAACCGGCCAAGUCGCGUGAAGGAAGAAGGAUCUAUGGUUCGUAAACUUCUUUUGCAGGGGAAUAAAGUGCAGGACGUGUCCUGUUUUGUAUGUACCCUGAGAAUAAGGAUCGGCUAACUCCGUGCCAGCAGCCGCGGUAAUACGGAGGAUCCGAGCGUUAUCCGGAUUUAUUGGGUUUAAAGGGUGCGCAGGCGGGAUGUUAAGUCGGCGGUGAAAUUUUGCAGCUCAACUGUAAAAGUGCCUUCGAUACUGGCUUCCUUGAGUGUAGAUGAAGUAGGCGGAAUUUGUGGUGUAGCGGUGAAAUGCUUAGAUAUCACGAGGAACUCCGAUUGCGCAGGCAGCUUACUAAACUACAACUGACGCUCAUGCACGAAGGCGUGGGGAUCAGACA